AUGUCUUCCAGCUCGUCCGCUAUGGUUCUUCCUUCCCUUGCUUCCCUCGGCCACACCGUCACGGAGAAGCUAAUUAGGGAUAAUUUCCUGGUUUGGAACGCUCAGGUUCUGCCGCAUAUAAGGGCAGCUGGCAUGGCCGGUUACCCCAACGGCAGCUUCAAGGAACCAGCCAAGGUUCUGUGCACGGAGAAGGACGUCGCUGGCAAGAAAGUCAUCGAGGAGGUGCCCAAUCCAGAGCAUGCGAUCUGGGUCACCCAGGACCAGCAGGUCUUGACGUUCCUCCUUGCAAGUCUGUCUCGCGAAGUAAUUCAGCAGGUAAAUAAUUAUGUUACCGUAGAAGGUGUUUGGGGAGUGAUUUUGCAGAGCUAUUCCUCCAAGUCUCGGGCGAAGAUCAAUGAGCUUCGUUCUCAGAUCAGUCGCGCCCAAAAGGGCGACCUGUCCGCUGCUGCUUACUUCAACAAGAUGAAGGGUCUGGCCGAUGAGAUGGCCGCCGCUGGCAAACCUCUUGAUGAAGAUGAAGUCGUCUCACACAUCCUGGACGGUCUUGACGCCGCUGGCCGCCGCUGGCAAACCUUUUUCAAUAUACACGACAACUAA
rnacentral:rRNA from 1 species